UACGUAGGGUGCGAGCGUUGUCCGGAAUUACUGGGCGUAAAGCGUGCGCAGGCGGUUGUGCAAGACCGAUGUGAAAUCCCCGGGCUUAACCUGGGAAUGGCAUUGGUGACUGCACGGCUAGAGUGUGUCAGAGGGGGGUAGAAUUCCACGUGUAGCAGUGAAAUGCGUAGAGAUGUGGAGGAAUACCGAUGGCGAAGGCAGCCCCCUGGGAUAACACUGACGCUCAUGCACGAAAGCGUGGGGAGCAAACAGG
rnacentral:rRNA from 1 species